ACAGAUUAUGAUCAACAGGUUAGUCCAAACGAAGUUAGGUUAUUGCCUUCAAAUCAAUUGAAAAAUAAUUCGUUCUAACUAUCAAGCUAUGAUUAUGGCUGUAUCUGCUUUUAUCCGUUGUUCACACUUUCGACGUUUGAUUGGCGUAAGCAACAAUGCUGUUGCUUUAUUUCCGGAUUCCGCAUGGUAUUUGAAUCGUAUUAAAUCACAAUCUUAUGCAACAUUUAUCAGUGAAAUCAAA